rnacentral:rRNA from 1 species
GGCAGCUACACAUGCAGUCGGACGGUAGCACAGAGGACUUGCCCCUUGGGUGACGAGUGGCGGACGGGUGAGUAAUGUCUGGGGAUCGGCCCGAUAGAGGGGGAUAACCACUGGAAACGGUGGCUAAUACCGCAUAACGUCGCAAGACCAAAGAGGGGGACCUUCGGGCCUCUCACUAUCGGAUGAACCCAGAUGGGAUUAGCUAGUAGGCGGGGUAAUGGCCCACCUAGGCGACGAUCCCUAGCUGGUCUGAGAGGAUGACCAGCCACACUGGAACUGAGACACGGUCCAGACUCCUACGGGAGGCAGCAGUGGGGAAUAUUGCACAAUGGGCGCAAGCCUGAUGCAGCCAUGCCGCGUGUAUGAAGAAGGCCUUCGGGUUGUAAAGUACUUUCAGCGGGGAGGAGGGCAGUGAGGUUAAUAACCUCACAGAUUGACGUUACCCGCAGAAGAAGCACCGGCUAACUCCGUGCCAGCAGCCGCGGUAAUACGGAGGGUGCAAGCGUUAAUCGGAAUUACUGGGCGUAAAGCGCACGCACGCGGUCUGUUAAGUCAGAUGUGAAAUCCCCGGGCUUAACCUGGGAACUGCAUUUGACACUGGCACGCUUGAGUCUCGUAGAGGGGGGUAGAAUUCCGUGUGUAGCGGUGAAAUGCGUAGAGAUCUGGAAGAAUACCGGUGGCGAACGCGGCCCCCUGGACGAAGACUGACGCUCAUGUGCGAAAGCGUGGGGAGCAAACAAGAUUAGAUACCCUGGUAGUCCACGCCGUAAACGAUGUCGACUUGGGAGGUUGUUCCCUUGAAGAGUGGCUUCCAGAGCUAACGCGUUAAGUCGACCGUCUGGGAGAGUACCGCCGCAAUGUUUAAAAACUCAAAAUAAUUUGACGGGGGCGCCGCACAACAGCUGGUGGAAGCAAUGUGUUAUAAUCUCGAUGCAACGCGAAGAACUCUAUCCCUACUCUUGACAAUCCAGAAGAACUUUAGCAGAAGAGGCUUGUGG